rnacentral:lncRNA from 1 species
UCUUUUCUUUUUGGGUUUCUUCCUUUAACGAAUGGAGUCUUGCCAUUGAUCCAUCCUGAGUGUGGAGCUGCAAUUACUCCAAAGGCUUCAGUGCAGCUAAUUAUCCGGCAUACUGGAUGGAUAGGUCAUAAUCUUUGCGAAUCGAGGAUCAUAUCAUAUUAAACGUGCUUACCCCUCUUUAAAAAAAAAAAAAAAAAAAAAAAAAAAGCUUUUUGAAGAUAAAUUCACUUGGACAGUCGGUGGCACAUUUACCAUAUCCGUGAUAGAAUGUCUGAGAUCAUUAAUAUCUGUUGUUCCUAUCCCUCGCUCGAUUAUUCAUCUGGAAACCUAAUAGAGUGAGGAAUUCCUGAUCGCCUUUGCUGGCGGGCUCUUACAUUUCAUCUCAUUGUCCUCCUUCUCAUGUUACAGUUCAUAUUCGAUUCUCCGAGGCUCGUGUCCUUUUGAUAAUGUUUUGGCACUCGCAAUUCUCUUGACCUGAACUUUUCUCUCGUGUCCAAUCGCCAGAUGAUGAAUAAAUUUGACAUUGCACUCCUUACCGGCCAUGUCACUCGAGUCAACUCAAAAAAUUUGGGAUUAAUUGUUGAUACUAGUAGAUGAAUAGAAUCAUUGGUUGUUAAAAUUGGAAUACCCUUUGCGCACGUGUUGAUGGAAACUCUUGUCAGUUGCGAAUACCUCGUGGCUGGAGAAACUCAGAAAUUGUGGGUAAAACUCACGGCGUGCUAUUCCCUAAAGUUUUUGAUCCCAGCUAUCCACAUGCACAACCGCAAGGCACCCAAUGUUGCUUUACUGUGGAGCUGUAGUAUUGAAUAUGGAAUGCCCAGGGGAUCCCCAGCCGUUAGUAUCUGAUGUAACUCUUGGCAAAUUGCAGUCUGUCUUUUCUUAUUUUGGCAAGCUGCAUCUCAAUAAAGAUUGAGAUGUAUAAUACGUUAGCAAGUAACUUCUAAUGCAGAUAUGCAUAUGUUAAGUGCAUAUGAGUUUCGUCACCUACAGUUGAGCUAAACACAUUAAGCAUUCUCUUCUUUUACACUGAAAAUUUGGCUACUGCUUUCUUCUCGUGCAUGCUUAAGUAGUGAGUGAAUCAUCCUGACCUGCUGUAAUUGUGUGCUAGAUGAUGGGAAAAGUGAAUCGAGACAGACUAGCAGAGUAUCUGGGGGAGCUCCAGAGGAAGGAGGACACAAAUGACAGGUACGUAGCAGCUCUGAAGGGAGAGACGUUGACUAGGAAUCCUUACGUGAGGAUUCAACCUGUGCCGAAGCAAGAUAGUGGAGCCAAUGAAGCAGCGAAGGCUGAGGAGAAAAAGAAAUAGACAAAUAGACAGUUAAAUAAGCGCUGCAGUUAAAUUGUGAAGUCUCU